rnacentral:rRNA from 1 species
AUUGAACGCUGGCGGCAGGCUUAACACAUGCAAGUCGAGCGAGCGGCGGACGGGUUAGUAAUUUCUGGGAAACUGCCUGAUGGAGGGGGAUAACUACUGGAAACGGUAGCUAAUACCGCAUACCAUCAGAUGUGCCCAGAUGGGAGUAGCUAGUAGGUGGGGUAAUGGCUCACCUAGGCGACGAUCCCGAGCGGGUCUGAGAGGAUGACCAGCAACACUGGAACUGAGACACGGUCCAGAGUCGUACGGGAGGCAGCAGUGGGGAAUAUUGCACAAUGGGCGAAAGCCUGAUGCAGCCAUGCCGCGUGUGUGAAGAAGGCCUUCGGGUUGUAAAGCACUUUCAGCGAGGAGGCGUUACUCGCAGAAGAAGCAACGGCUAACUCCGUGCCAGCAGCCGCGGUAAUUC